rnacentral:rRNA from 1 species
UACAGAGGGGGCAAGCGUUGUUCGGAAUUACUGGGCGUAAAGGGCGCGUAGGCGGCCUGUUAAGUCGAACGUGAAAUCCCCGGGCUCAACCCGGGAACUGCGUCCGAUACUGGCAGGCUUGAAUUCGGGAGAGGGAUGCGGAAUUCCAGGUGUAGCGGUGAAAUGCGUAGAUAUCUGGAGGAACACCGGUGGCGAAGGCGGCAUCCUGGACCAUUACUGACACUGAACCGCGAAAGCUAGGGGAGCAAACGGG